AUUAAUCAACGUAAGCCUUUUUUCGGCCCAAUCGAAAAUGAGCAUCAAGUUGAAUAGGACAACGAGUGCAAGAAAUCAUUUAAAGACUUAAAGAAGUACUUGAUAUUACCUCCCCAUUAUCCAAGUCAGAAAUAGCAGAUGACUUAAUUACAUACUUGGCGGUAUCUAAAGCAGCAAUAAACUCUACCCUCAUAUGAGAUGAGCUGGGGGCUCGAUUACCUGUAUCCCACAAUUCAAAAGCUCUCCUCGAUGCGGAAACUAGCUACCAAAAAUUCAAAAGCUAACUUUAGCUAUAGUUGUUGUAACCCUGAAACUCAAGUUAUACCUUUAGAAGCACGCAAUCAUCCUUAUGACACAUUAUUCCACCCAAUCCAAACGCACGACGAUAAAGGCGUAGCACUGGGGGACAUAAAGUUUUUUGACAAAUGC
rnacentral:lncRNA from 1 species